rnacentral:lncRNA from 1 species
AUAGCAGGCUCUCUUCUAUGUCCAUGCCAUCUUUUUUUUUUUAAAGAUUGCAUAUAUUAGGAAAGUUUAUACAAUUUUCUUAAAAAAUAUAUUGGGCAAAGUUAUGAAAAUAUAAAUAUUCAAAAUAAUCACAUGGAGUUUAUGUUGCUUCAAAGAUUAUGAUGUACAAACCAUUUUUAUAGUAAGUUGAAAUUUAAAAUAAGUGUAAAAUAUUAUUCUAGAAAACACUGAAGAGUUCAAGAUAUAGGAAGAAAGUAUAAUUAUAGGGGUAUAUCAAAAUUAGAUUCUCAUAGUUUAAAUAAAACAUUCAAAAAUAGAGUUUACUAGAUUUUAGAAAAAUUGCAAUACAGAGUAAAUAUACCGGUCAUUUGUAAUGAAGGGUAGGAUGUAUAAAGUUUAAUGUGAGUUUGUGCGCUUAACUUUGUUUCUCUUAAAUAACUUUUCUUCUCCUUGUCUGUAUUGUCUUUGUGGCUCUUGGGUAAAAUCUCGUUUAUACAGAUGCUCCAGAGAGAUUUGGUGAGACUGCAUUAACUAUCCAGGAAGCGAGCAGAAAGUGCGAGAACUCAGCACAAAACACAAAACUUACAGUUCAAAUUCUCUGGUAGUGAAAGUCUAUAAUUUAUACUAGAACUACUCCAAAAAGAAGAAAGAAGAACAAAAAAGGAGAGCAAAAAGGAGCGGAUACAUCUAUCACUGGGAAACAGUACUAUCCCCAGAAGACACGCAGGCAUAUUCUUCUACUGAACUCUAAUGGCCUUUUCACUCAGACUACACUUGGGAGCUGCAGAAACACUGCAACAAAUAUGGGACACAGGAUCAAGAUCAGAAAUUCAGAAGUGCGGAGGCACACACAGCAAAGUCACGUGACGAUAAGGGCCACCUGGCGGGGCAGCAGCCUGGAGCACAGCUGCCUGUCACCUGAGAGAAAAAGCUCUCUUUGGUGAUAACCCCAUUUCCAACAUUUCACAAAGAUAUCACCUUUGCGAUCCAAUAAAGAUUACACAGAAACUAU